rnacentral:rRNA from 1 species
AGCGAACGUUUGCGGCGGGCCUAACACAUGCAAGUCGAACGCACUAGCAAUAGUGAGUGGCGCACGGGUGCGUAACACGUGGGUAAUCAACCCUUCAGCUUGGGAUAACGACUUGAAAGGGUCGCUAAUACCGGAUACGGCGCGGGAGGCUUCGGCUUCUCACGAGAAAGCCUCGCAAGGGGCACUGAAGGACGAGCCUGCGGCCCAUCAGCUAGUUGGUGAGGUAAGAGCUCACCAAGGCGAAGACGGGUAGCUGGUCUGAGAGGAUGAUCAGCCACACUGGAACUGAGACACGGUCCAGACUCCUACGGGAGGCAGCAGUGGGGAAUUUUGGACAAUGGGCGCAAGCCUGAUCCAGCCAUUCCGCGUGCAGGAUGAAGGCCUC